GAUGAACGCUAGGUGCAGGCUUAAUACAUGCAUCACGAACGGUAGCUGGCUUAUCAAUACAACACUAACCCUGUCGUACGGGUGCGUAACACGUAUGCAACCUACCUUGUACAGGAGGAUAGCUCGGGGAAACUCGAAUUAACCCUCCAUAACAUAUUGAGAAGGGAUCUUUUUAUUAUUAAAACUGAUGUGGUACAAGAUGGGCAUGCCUCUGAUUAUUUCUUUGGUGACGUAACGGCUCACCAAGACCAUGAUCAUGAGGGGACCUGAGAGGGUGAUCCCCCACACUGGCCCUGACAUACCGGCCAGACUCCUACGGGACGCCUCACUAUGGAAUAUUGCACAAUGGAUGCAAGCCUGAUCCAUCCCUGACUCGUGCAGGAAGAAUGCGUUAUGCAUUGUCAACUGCUUUUGCCAGGGGAUAAAAAGCUCGUGCGCGAGACAUUGAACGUACCUGGUGAAUAACCCACGGCUAACUACGUGCCAGCGCCCGCGGUAAUACGUAGGUGGCGAGCGUUGUCCGGAUUUAUUGGUUUUAAAGGGUGCGUAAGCGGGCAUGUAAAUCCGUGGUGACAUCUCCCAGCUUAAGUCGGAAACUGCCAUGGAUACU
rnacentral:rRNA from 1 species